rnacentral:tRNA from 1 species
AUUAAGGUGGCAGAGCCCGGUAAUUGCGAAAGGCCUAAGCCCUCUUCUCCAGAGGUUCAACUCCUCUCCUUGAUA